rnacentral:rRNA from 1 species
UACUCGAGUGGCGAACGGGUGAGUAACACGUGGGUGAUCUGCCCUGCACUCUGGGAUAAGCCUUGGAAACUGGGUCUAAUACCGGAUAGGACCAUGCUUUAGUGUGUGUGGUGGAAAGUUUUUUCGGUGUAGGAUGAGCCCGCGGCCUAUCAGCUUGUUGGUGGGGUAAUGGCCUACCAAGGCGGCGACGGGUAGCCGGACUGAGAGGUUGGUCGGCCACAUUGGGACUGAGAUACGGCCCAG